AAUACUUCACAAUGGGCGAAAGCCUGAUGCAGCAACGACGCGUGAGUGAUGCACGUCUUUGCAUCGUAAAGCUCUCUGACCAGGGAUGAUAAUGAUGGUAUCUGAAAAAUAUUCCACGGCUAACUACGUGUCAGCAGCCGCCGUAAUACGUAGGUGGCGAGCGUUGUCCGGAAUUACUGGGCGUAAAGGAUGCGUAGGUGGAUACUUAAGUGGGAUGUGAAAUCCCCGGGCUCAACCCGGGAACUGCAUUCCAAACUGGGUAUCUAGAGUGCAGGAGAGGAAAGCGGAAUUCCUAGUGUAGCGGUGAAAUGCGUAGAUAUUAGGAGGAACACCAGUGGCGAAGGCGGCUUUCUGGACUGUAACUGACACUGAGGCAUGAAAGCGUGGGUAGCAAACAG
rnacentral:rRNA from 1 species